CCCCGACCUGCGGCAGGCGGAGGAGGAUGCCGGCCGCCUGGAUGAGCUCGCAGCCCAGGAUGCGCAGAUCCCGGUGAGGAUCCCUGCGGAUUAUCGGCUGUGCUGCACACGUCGCCAAGCCAGUCCUGGAGGCUUCUGCGUCCCGUGGGUGCUCGCUGUGCACCUAGCCCAUCGCACACAGACCUUGGUGCCAGCGGGCCGCCAUCUGCACCCACUUUUACUUACUAAAAACGUUAUUUCUGCCAGCUGCACCAGUAUGGUAGCUCUUGACUACAGACACGCUGUGUAUGAUGCAUUUAUUUCUAGUAACAGAUCAUUGAUGAGCUGGGAACAACCCCCUUUUUA